UAAAAGUAACACGUAUUGCUGAUAAGAACAUCAUUUUGCAAUUUACAAUUCACCGUUAACAUUACUGUCUUGAUUUCUUUCAUACUUAAUCAAAAUGCAUCAAUAUUUCUCUGUUCGUGUAUUUUGCGUUAUGCUGCUGACUUUUUACUUCAUAAAUUCAGCACUAUCUCAAGCAUGCAACGACCCGAAUGAAGAAAGGCGUAGCUGCGCUCCGAACAAACGAUGCAGCACUUGUGGAGUUCAAAUUUGUACCCAGGAAUGCCAAGUUAAUGCCUGUAUUUGCAAACAAGGUUUUCGCUAUAAUGCGGGAGGAAUAUGCAUCCCUGAACAUCAGUGCUAGUGACAAGAGUUGACAUUUUUAAGCAUUGUACUGAAUCGAAAAAAUACAUAUACAAUUGCUCACUGUA